UCUGUUACAAAAGAAGGUUUAUGUUGAUUUCUCAGGUCAGCCUACUUCCACCCUGUUGCAUUCCCUUGGCACAGAGCACAGAACCCAAUUGUCCAGAAACUAGUUUAAAAGUAAGUGGUCAUUUUUUUCUUUUUUAUUUCUCUGCCUGGUACCCUGAAGGUUCUGGACAUAGUUCACUGGGAGGUGCUAUCCUGCAGGAAAGCUACACGGAGGAGAGAACUCCCCAUUUCAACUUCCUCAGACGUGGAAUAAAUGGUUCAAAAACAGCAACUGUGGAUGAAAACUCAAUUUCCAAAUACAUUCCCUGGCUUAUUUGUGGAGGGAAAUGGUCUUUACCUUUUGAACUUUUAGAUAGCUGAUGAAAGCAAGUAAGCUUUUUUUUUAUUAUUGUUAAACAGGAAAAAAUAUCAUACCCGAGCUUGGCUGGUAACCUAAAGCAGGGAUUUCAGGGCUAUUC